UUUAUUACAACUCAACCCAAGCAAAGACGUCCAACUGGGACACUUCAGAAUGGAAAAGCUGCCGCAGAUUUAGUUCCCCAACCACCACAAACGUCUGAAUCAACUCCAAACUUGACACCACAAGAAAAAAAUAUUUCUUCAACGGCUCGCAGGGUAAAUG